rnacentral:rRNA from 1 species
GGACUACCCGGGUUUCUAAUCCUGUUCGCUACCCACGCUUUCGCUCCUCAGCGUCAGUCAAGGCCCAGAGUGCCGCCUUCGCUACGGGUGUUCCUCCUGAUCUCUGCGCAUUUCACCGCUACACCAGGAAUUCCACACUCCUCUACCUGACUCUAGUCACGACAGUACCGAAUGCACCCUCCACGUUGAGCGUGGAGAUUUCACAUCCGGCUUAUCGAACCGCCUACGAGCUCUUUACGCCCAAUAAAUCCGGACAACGCUCGCCCCCUACGUAUUACCGCGGCUGCUGGCAC